ensembl:lncRNA
AGAGGAAGGUGUUUUUCACUAGGACUCGCGGCGGGCCCCACCUGCCUCCCGUGGCCUGCCGGGAGCUGUUACAGCAGGGUCUGCCCCUCGGACGACGGCGCUCCAAUCUGGGGUCGCGCCGGCGCGGACCCUCAGCUCUCUCCCGAUACCCGCUGGCCUCUCACAUCUUUGGUGGCACUGGCGGCCACGGGGAGGGUGAGAUCAAAGAGGUAAACCUAGGCCUGGAGGGACGGCCAGGGUUCCUUCCCGCGGGCCAGCCUCUCGUCCUUCCUCCCGGGAGGGGGCGCCUUCCCUUUCUCCGGAUGCGGGCCUUUCAGAGUCAGCGACGCCUUAGACUCCUCCCAGAAAAAUGCACCCUCAUCUACCCAAUUCUGCCCUACCUGUUGGAGCUCCCGGACCCGCCCACUCGGUGAGGUCAGAGCCCACCCCUGGAAGGGCCGCUUGUCGGGGACUGGCUCGCCCUCUCCUGGCCUCCCCGGACCAGCGCGCGGGGAGGAUCCCGGCAACGCCGGGCGGCUGCAGACCUUGAACGGCCUUAGCCUGGUGACCUCCCCGGGAAAGGCUAGGCGGUGCUUCCACCCUGAGGGCCACUUGUUAAUUCGCACGAGAAAGUGCUGCCGAGGGUCCACACGUGCGAAUCCGCCUGUGGAGUGCUUCCCCGCCCUGGGGGCAAGGCCUAGGGGAGGCCAAAGGGGAGAAGUUGCCGGAAGACUGGGAAGUAAGGGCAGGGGCGUCAGAGGAAUCGAAGGUGCAGUGACAUCAGGCUCGGACACCCGGCGGACUCCUCUCAAGGCCUCAAACUUCUUCAUGGGAAAAAAUGGCUUCUCCUUUUUUAAUUGAAUGAACUAGAAGAAGUUCAUUGUUAUUCAUCAACUUCAAAGAGACUAUAUGAGGCCCCUUGGCCAGGACUACAGAGCAGUGUUUUUUAAAUCAGAAAUUAUGGCCAAAAAGAAGAGGAGACCAGAACACAUGGGUAAAUAUUACUGAAUUAGUGGUUUUCCUUCAAUAGUUUAGUUUUGGUGUGUGAGAGGAAGAAAGUUGCAAGAGCUUAUGUGCCAGGUACUGUGCUAUGAUCUGAAGAUGCAGAAAUGAAGAAAAUGCAAUCCCUGGUCCUCCCACCUGAUGGGGGAAGUGGACUUCGCACCCUGUGGAUAAGGAAUAAGGAGUACACAGUGUAGCACUGUGGUUAGAAGCACCAGCUCUGUCAUCACAGGGCUUGGCUUGUUCCCUGGCUCUGCUGUGGGCUGUGUGGCAUUGGGCAAGUUACUUAACUUCUCUGUGCAUUUUGUUUUGCAUCCUAAAAAUGGGGUGAGUGAUAAAAUCUAUGUUAUAUGGUUCCUGUAGGGAUUUAGUGAGUUAAAAUAGUUAAAGUACUUAAGCUCAGUGCAUACUUUGAGUGUUUAUUACUAUCAUUGAGAAGAUGUAGAGGAGGUAUAUGGGCAUAGAGAGCAAGGUGCAGCUGACUGCUUGGAUGAGGCAGCGGAUGCUUCAAAGAGGAGGUGACAUUUACUUUGCACUCUGAAAGGUGAGUGGGAGUUCAGUUGACAAGGGUGGCGUGAAGGAACCCAGGCAGUGGGAAGCGUGGUCGGGGCAGAGAGAAGGUGAUGGCUCGAAGGAGUAGCAGAGAGGUCAGUGUGGCUACAGCCCGGGACUCUCAUGUGGCUUGGGGGAAGGGAGUAAAAUCACAGGCUGAGUCUGGAAAGGUGAGUUCAGGCUAGACCGGGAAAGGCUUUAAACUCCGUGUCAUUCAUUCAUUCAUAUAAAUCUAUUAUCCCCAUAAAGAUGAAGAAGGAAGGCAUUAAAAAGUUAUGUAAUUUGCCGGGUGUGGUGGCCCACGCCUGUAAUCCCAGCACUUUGGGAGGCAGAAGCUGGCGGAUCACUCGAGAUCAGGAGUUCGAGACCAGCCUGGACAACAUGGUGAAACCCUGUCUCUACUAAAAAUACAAAAAUUAGCCAGAUGUGGUGGUGGGUGCCUGUAAUCCCAGCUACUUGGGAGGCUGAGGCACGAGAAUCGCUUGAACUCAGGAGAGGUUGCAGUGAGCCGGGAUCACGCCACUGCACUCCUGCCUGGGCGACAAAGCAAGACUCCGUCUCAACAUCACUGAACCAGUAGGGGGCAGAGCUGGAAGUUGAGCCAGGGUGUGUCUGACUCCCGAGCCCCGCACCUUGACUUUGUGCUUUCUCACAAUGCCUAUGGCUGCUGCUUUAAAACAGCACUUUCCAUUUGCCUUGUUAAAUGGGAUUGUAUAUGAAUUAUACUGCACUGUUUAUUUUUAGAGAAAUAAAAGAACCUAAUAAAGGAAUCUGACA